AUUGAACGCUGGCGGCAGGCCUAACACAUGCAAGUCGAGCGAGCGGCGGACGGGUGAGUAAUGUCUGGGGACUGCCCGAUAGUGGGGGAUAACUACUGGAAACGGUCGCUAAUACCGCAUACUAUCGGAUACCCCAUAUGGGAUUAGCUAGUAGGUGGGGUAAAGGCUCACCUAGGCGACGAUCUCUAGCUGGUCUGAGAGGAUGAUCAGCCAAACUGGGGCUGGGUGACGGCGAUGACUCCUACGGCGGCACCAGGGCAGAAGAGUGAUCUGUGGCUGCAGGCCAGAUGAAGCGAUGCCGCGUGUAUGUGGAAGGCAAAAAGGUUGCAAAGUACUUUCAGCGUGGAGGCGUUACCCGCAGAAGAAGCACCGGGUAACUCUGUGCCAGCCGCCGCGGUAAUUC
rnacentral:rRNA from 1 species